UACGGAGGGUGCAAGCGUUAUCCGGAUUUACUGGGUUUAAAGGGUGCGCAGGCGGAUAUGUAAGUCAGUGGUGAAAUCUCCGGGCUUAACCCGGAAACUGCAUUGAAUACUAUUCUGCUCGAGGUUUGGAGGGGGGACUGGAAUUCUCGGUGUAGCGGUGAAAUGCGUAGAUAUCGAGAGGAACACCUGCGGCGAAGGCGGGUAGCUGGGCCGACACUGACGCUGAUGCGCGAAAGCCAGGGGAGCGAACGGGAU
rnacentral:rRNA from 1 species